rfam:Gossypium hirsutum cultivar TM-1 chromosome 8, whole genome shotgun sequence
AAUUAAAAUUUUCAUCUAUUUUUACUGUUAAAAGUCGAAGUAGCCAACAAAAUAACUAAAUAAUUACACGUGGUAUGACACAUGUAUCUUAUACUAACGUUUAAUGACUAGUUUUUAGCAAUUAAAAUAGAUGAAAAUUUUCACA